AAACCAACAGGGAUUGCCUCAGUAACGGCGAGUGAAGCGGCAAAAGCUCAAAUUUGAAAUCUAACACUUUCAGUGUUCGAGUUGUAAUUUGAAGAAAGUUUCUCUGAGUAGUCCUUUAUCUAUGUUCCUUGGAACAGGACGUCAUAGAGGGUGAGAAUCCCGUAUGAUUUUGGAUACUAUUCUUUGUGAGAUUCUUUCGAAGAGUCGAGUUGUUUGGGAAUGCAGCUCUAAGUGGGUGGUAAAUUCCAUCUAAAGCUAAAUAUUGGCGAGAGACCGAUAGCGAACAAGUACAGUGAUGGAAAGAUGAAAAGAACUCUGAAGAGAGAGUGAAAAAGUACGUGAAAUUGCUGAAAGGGAAGGGCUUUAGGUCAGACUUGGUGUUUAAAUGAUUAUCUUCUCUUUUUGAGUUGUGCACUCGUUUUCACUGGGCCAAUAUCAGUUUUUGUGGUAGAGCACCUACUGGAAUGUAGCUUUUCUUCGGAUGAGUGUUAUAGCCUUUAGACGAUCUU
rnacentral:rRNA from 1 species